GGCGGGCAAAUCACAAAAUCAAAGAUAGAUUAAAAGCCCAAUCAAGCAAUCAUCCCUUUCAAAUACAAGAACUACACCGACCAAUAAUCCCAGAAAAAGAAAAGGAAUAAAAUUCGCACAAAUCCAUUACUCAUCAAGCAAUUUCACUUUCACUUCAAGAACACAACAUGAACACAAAAGAUGAACAAAAGAACACACAUGAACACAAGAGUUUUGCUUCCGCUCCCGUUCGCCGCCGCCGGGCCGUCGCCUUCCCUCCACCACCGCCCGCCGCCCCCCGGGGCCGUCGCCUUCCCUCUACCACCGCCCGCCGCCCCCGCCUCCCCUCCUGCCGGGCCGCCACUCCCGGCUAGAUCUGGCGGAGGGGAGGCGCCGCCGCCGCCCCCGCCUCCCCUCCUGCGGAGGGAGCCGCCGCCGGGAUGUCGCCUUCCCUCCCGCCGCCGCCACCACCGCCUCCACCGCCAGGCCGCCGCCGACGCGUGAGAAAGGCGAGGGGAGGGUGCGAGAGAGCCGAGGGGAGAAGAAGAGAAGAAAGAGAGGAGACGACGAGCCCCUGCCUGCGCUGUCGCUAGGGUUGCGCUCGCCUAGCGGUGGAGGAGAAGGAGGGAGCGCCGAGAGAAGGGGAGCAGCGGUGGAGAUGGAGAGCGAGAAGAGAAGGAAGAGAUAAGGAGAGAGAGAGCGGACACGUGUGGCUCUUAUCCAUCCAUACCGACUGAAUUGACGCGAGACGCAAUCAUGGUAGGGAAAAAAAAAUCAAAACUCGGUAUCCACGAAAUAAAUUGGCC
rnacentral:lncRNA from 1 species